UACGAAGGGGGCUAGCGUUGCUCGAAUCGACGUGGACGUAAGCGACGUAGCGGUCUGUUAAGUCGGAUUGUGAAAGCCCUCGGCUCAACCGAGGAAGUGCAUACGAAACUGGGCGGACUUGAAUAUGGAAGAGGGUCGCGGAAUUCCCGGUGUAGAGGUGAAAUUCGUAGAUAUCGGGAGGAACACCAGUGGCGAAGGCGGCGACCUGGGCCAAUAUUG
rnacentral:rRNA from 1 species